rnacentral:misc_RNA from 1 species
UCAAGUUCACUUUCUUCUUGA